UUGAACGCUGGCGGCAUGCUUUACACAUGCACGUCGCACGGCAGCGCGGGCUUCGGCCUGGCGGCGAGUGGCGAACGGGUGAGUAAUACAUCGGAACGUGCCCAGUAGUGGGGGAUAGCUCGGCGAAAGCCGGAUUAAUACCGCAUACGACCUGAGGGUGAAAGCGGGGGAUCUUCGGACCUCGCGCUAUUGGAGCGGCCGAUGGCAGAUUAGCUAGUUGGUGGGGUAAAGGCCUACCAAGGCGACGAUCUGUAGCUGGUCUGAGAGGACGACCAGCCACACUGGGACUGAGACACGGCCCAGACUCCUACGGGAGGCAGCAGUGGGGAAUUUUGGACAAUGGGCGAAAGCCUGAUCCAGCAAUGCCGCGUGUGUGGUGAAGGCCUUCGGGUUGUAAAGCACUUUUGGCGGGAACGAAAAGGACUGUGCCAAUACCACGGUUCGAUGACGGUACCCGCAGAAUAAGCACCGGCUAACUACGUG
rnacentral:rRNA from 1 species